rnacentral:tRNA from 1 species
GGGCGUGUAGCUCAAUGGCAGAGCAGUGGCCUUUUAAGCCAUUGGUUGAAGGUUCGAGUCCUUCCACGCUCACAA